GACGAACGCUGGCGGCGUGCUUAACACAUGCAAGUCGAACGGAAAGGCCCUGCUUUUGUGGGGUGCUCGAGUGGCGAACGGGUGAGUAACACGUGAGUAACCUGCCCUUGACUUUGGGAUAACUUCAGGAAACUGGGGCUAAUACCGUAUAGGAGCUCCUGCUGCAUGGUGGGGGUUGGAAAGUUUCGGCGGUUGGGGAUGGACUCGCGGCUUAUCAGCUUGUUGGUGGGGUAGUGGCUUACCAAGGCUUUGACAGGUAGCCGGCCUGAGAGGGUGACCGGCCACAUUGGGACUGAGAUACGGCCCAGACUCCUACGGGAGGCAGCAGUGGGGAAUAUUGCACAAUGGGCGGAAGCCUGAUGCAGCAACGCCGCGUGCGGGAUGACGGCCUUCGGGUUGUAAACCGCUUUCGCCUGUGACGAAGCGUGAGUGACGGUAAUGGGUAAAGAAGCACCGGCUAACUACGUG
rnacentral:rRNA from 1 species